UCCGGAGCCGUCGGUCUCCGCGCCGCCGGGAGCAGGGGUGGCUGGCGUUUGUGCGCAUUGCGUGGGGACGGGGAGGAAGGACGGAGGUCUGGGGGAGUGGCGCCUUCGCCUCGGGUAGAGACCGAAGGCGGUUACCAGGGGGCAGUGGCAUCUUCUUCUCAGGCAGAGACCGAGGGAAGGUUCGUGGGGAAUAGCGCCUUCCCCUCAGGCAGAGAUCGGAAGAGGGGUACGAGAGGGAAUGGCACCUUUGCCUCAGGAGGGAUAUUGCACAUAUCCAUGAAGUGACUGAUACAAGCACUGCACAGAUGCUCAGAAAAAUGCUGAGGAGGAGAAAUUUUAAUGGAAGAGGGCUAGGAACACUGAGCCUGAACAGCUCCUUGCUCUUGAGAUUGGUGCCAUUACGUCUACUUGGGCCAAGCUGGAUGAGGUAACAUGGAAGGACAGAGUCCUGCUCCCAGGUACUGAGAGCUCAAGCCUUCCCACAAGGAGAUUUAGAGGAAGGAUGGAUGCCUUUCCAGGGCAAAAUCCCCGCUCUGAGAAGUUGGACCCUUGCUUAAAGCAUCACUUUUCCAGCCACAGAUGAAAACACCACAGAAAGGGAAAUUAUCACAUUAUCCCAUGGACAAAGAAACACUGAUGUGGGCCAUCCUGAUUUGUGAAGAGUUGGCUUUAUUUUAUGGUUGCAGAGCCUUACAUUUAAUAAAAACCACAAGAAUAUCUCUCCUUCAAA